rnacentral:misc_RNA from 1 species
CUUCUGUUAUGUGCAAAAGGUGGGGAACAUCAACAGAACGGAUUCAUUCAGCAGCAACCACUCUCUCAACAACUUCAUCCACUACAGCAGUUGCAGCAGCAGCAAGUUCAGAUUUCCUGUCGAACUGGUGGAAAGUGGAGGAAAAAGGCUCUUGUUAUCUUUGUCUUUGGUGGGGUGACUCUAGCCAUCUGGUUGUAUUUGUACCUGAGUGCAGACAUUGCAUUGAGGAGGAAAGAAACACUGACAAGCAUGUGUGACGAACGAGCGCGAAUGUUGCAGGACCAGUUCAACGUAAGCAUGAACCAUGUUCAUGCAUUGGCUAUUCUUGUUUCCACAUUUCACCAUGGAAAACAACCUUCUGCAAUAGACCAGAAAACUUUUGAAGAAUAUACUGAGAGAACAGCUUUCGAAAGGCCACUUACAAGUGGUGUUGCCUAUGCUUUAAGAGUUCGUCACUCAGAGAGAGAAGAGUUUGAGAAGCUGCAUGGG